rnacentral:sRNA from 2 species
CCUCCCUUCUUGAUAUCAAGAGAGCGUUCGUCGAAUUUGAUUUGCUUUCUUUCUUUCGCGUGGUUACUGCUGUGCUCUCUAGAUUCUCCAGAUUUUAUUAUUUCUCCGGCUUCAUUUUCUGCCUUUUUUCAACCGAGCACGCAGCUCGAUCGUCCCAUCUUGUAUACAGAUAAGAUACUAUGCAUCUAUCUACGUAAAUACAUAUAUGUGUCAACAAAAGAAUAAGUCUCCAGUACCAGGAUUGGAAGACCGUGAGACCGUGCAUUGUAGCCACUUUCACUCCGGUUACUAGUACCCUUGGGAGGAUACCAGGAAUCCAUUGGCAAAGGGACAGGGUUACUGACUUGCUGUAGAUUUCGUUCCUGUAAAGAAGGGGGAAUGGAGAAGAAUGAAAGAUAUGCAAGAUUAUUGCCAUAUUGACAUGGACAGGGUCGGGCGUCUUCCACUCCCACGCGCUCACACACAAACUCACACACACAUAACUAGAUAUAUGCAUACAUAUUCGCCAAAGCCUCUUCUCACAUCUCAC